rnacentral:rRNA from 1 species
AACGAACGCUGGCGGCAGGCCUAACACAUGCAAGUCGAGCGAGGACUUCGGUUCUAGCGGCGGACGGGUGAGUAACGCGUGGGAAUGUGCCCUUCUCUACGGAAUAUCCCUGGGAAACUGGGAGUAAUACCGUAUACGCCCUAUUGGGGAAAGAUUUAUCGGAGAAGGAUCAGCCCGCGUUGGAUUAGGUAGUUGGUGGGGUAAUGGCCUACCAAGCCGACGAUCCAUAGCUGGUUUGAGAGGAUGAUCAGCCACACUGGGACUGAGACACGGCCCAGACUCCUACGGGAGGCAGCAGUGGGGAAUCUUAGACAAUGGGGGCAACCCUGAUCUAGCCAUGCCGCGUGAGUGAUGAAGGCCUUAGGGUUGUAAAGCUCUUUCAGCUGGGAAGAUAAUGACGGUACCAGCAGAAGAAGCCCCGGCUAACUCCGUG